UACAGAGGUCCCAAGCGUUGUUCGGAUUCAUUGGGCGUAAAGGGUGCGUAGGUGGCGGGGUAAGUUGGAUGUGAAAUCUCGGGGCUCAACCCCGAAACUGCAUUCAAUACUGCUCUGCUCGAGUACUGGAGAGGAGAUCGGAAUUUACGGUGUAGCAGUGAAAUGCGUAGAUAUCGUAAGGAAGACCAGUGGCGAAGGCGGAUCUCUGGACAGUUACUGACACUGAGGCACGAAGGCCAGGGGAGCAAACGGG
rnacentral:rRNA from 1 species